AUAGCCGGGAUAGCUCAGUUGGUAGAGCAGAGG
rnacentral:tRNA from 2 species